rnacentral:lncRNA from 1 species
UUUGCUAUGAUAUUUUCUUUUCAGUUCUUUGACUUUUGUAAUUGGAUUAGAAAUUUAUAAUUCAACAGAUGUUACCCUUUCAAUAUUCAUGAAAAGAGUAAUUAUGUGUCAUUUUUUUAAACUAAAAAAUUAUAACUUUAUUUAUUUCAAUUCAUAUAGUUUUUUGAAUAUAAGAUGUUAUGUUCUGUGUCUGAAUAUCAUAAAUUUUUGAAUGGAUGUCAUAAUGUUAUACAGGGAUAUCAUAA